AUCCAACUGAUGAGUCCCAAACAGGACGAAAUGCGCGUCCUGGAU
rnacentral:hammerhead_ribozyme from 1 species